GAUGAACGCUGGCGGCGUGCCUAAUACAUGCAAGUCGAGCGAACAGACGAGGAGCUUGCUCCUCUGACGUUAGCGGCGGACGGGUGAGUAACACGUGGAUAACCUACCUAUAAGACUGGGAUAACUUCGGGAAACCGGAGCUAAUACCGGAUAACAUGUUGAACCGCAUGGUUCAACAGUGCAAGACGGUCUUGCUGUCACUUAUAGAUGGAUCCGCGCCGCAUUAGCUAGUUGGUAAGGUAACGGCUUACCAAGGCAACGAUGCGUAGCCGACCUGAGAGGGUGAUCAGCCACACUGGAACUGAGACACGGUCCAGACUCCUACGGGAGGCAGCAGUAGGGAAUCUUCCGCAAUGGGCGAAAGCCUGACGGAGCAACGCCGCGUGAGUGAAGAAGGUCUUCGGAUCGUAAAACUCUGUUAUUAGGGAAGAACAAAUGUGUAAGUAACUAUGCACGUCUUGACGGUACCUAAUCAGAAAGCCACGGCUAACUACGUG
rnacentral:rRNA from 1 species